GAGAGAGAGAGAGAGAGAGCAUCCUUCCCGUCAAAUCCUCGUUGGUUGGCUGCAAGAUAACAUCCUCAACCAGACAGCUCAUCUCUUCCAUGGCUCUCGACACUUGUAUUCAGUCACCUGUUAAGACACCAAGCAAGAUGAAAACUUGUGAAUGCUUCUCUUUGGAUAUUCAAAAUGGUGUGCAGGGAUGGGAGAAUGAAGCAUCAACAUGAGGUCCCUGCCGGUGAACCUGAAGCUGCACCCGAGGCUGCGUGGGUUGCAAGGGCUCUGUGCCAGAGUGGCGUGGCCAUGGACGUCAGCAAAAAUUUUCUGUUCAGGCACAGUGUGCACCACAUCACCAGCAUCUUCACCCACUCCUAGUCUCCCUGCAUGGGCCACAUGUGGGUCUGGCAGGGAAAGAAGUUGAAUUGGACAACCACAAGGAUACUCUUAGUGACCUGUGACAUGCUGCUU